GGAAAUACGUCAAAUGAUGCAAGUUAUGGAGGAUGUCAUUGCUGUACUAUUCUGUGAAAAGCGCUCAUGAGGUUAUCUUCAGCACUGCACCAUUCAAUAGAUAAGGAACUUCAACAUGGAAUAGAGAUUGAUGACGAUCUUGAAGAUGCUUCAAGAAACUGAACUUUUAUCUCUUUGAACCGUUCUUUUGUUCUUCACCUAAUUAAGCAUUAGAUGUUACAGGGACAUGAUUGUUAAAAGUAGAAAGAUUGUGUAGUUUUUUCAAGGUUUCUCUGAGUAUGAUAUGCGAAAGCGAUUUGCCUCAAUUUUGCAUUAAUUUAAUAGGAUAUCACCAGAAAUUACAAGGACAUGACUGUUAACAGUAGAAAGAUUGUUACGUUUUGCCAAGGUUUCUCUCAUGCGAAAGCUUCUUGUUUAACAUUUGCACUCGUGUAAAAGGAUAACAAUUAAAAUUUCGAAUAAAUGUAGGACUUUUUUCCUUCCACACAAAAAUUUGGUGUGCUCUGUUCUCACUCGACACAUUCUUAAGCGAUAGAUAAAGGAUGCCUCCAAUUCAGAAUAAAUCCCUCACUUUAAGUAAGAAUUUUCCAUGAGACAACUCCAUGAAUAUAAAAAGCUAACCAUCCAAAGCAUUUUUUGUCAAACAUUUUGGUAUUAUAAGCUGGAUUUUUAGGGCCUAAAACUCAGUUAGCUAACGGAUUUUGGCUACGAAACAAGAACACAAACAUCAUUUGAUGCCGAGCGCGCUUCAAACGCGUUCUACGAUAUCUUGCCAGCAUCUAUGAAUUGGUUAUUUUAGCCUAUCCGACUAAACGCUGCUUGAAAAUCAAAGACUAAAACUUGGCAAGGCAAGGUUUAAAAAUGAUGUAAACUACAUACUUUGUUAAACGUUUUCUAACUAUGCCCUGUAAACACAUAUUUGUGAAACAAUGGCCGAUUGUAGCGUAGAUGAUAAUGAAAACCAUGUAGGCGUGCAGCGUUUAGGAAGAACAGAUUCCUUCAAUAUAGCUCAGAUCUUGACCCACGUAUUUUAGAGAGAAAAUAUGGCUAGCGCAACGACAUUUACGGAUAUUUAUUGGCGACUUCUGGCAGUCUUUUCAUCAAUAAAAAAAAUUGGCAAAGGUCGGAUGUGCCACCCUUGUUAAUGAUGUUUUCUCUGAGAAAUUUCAAAACACUGAAAUUUAGCACCCAGCGAUCUGAUUCGCUACAAGUUGACAGCAUGAAAUUUGCAACUCGGUGAAUUGUGAAUUGUCAAUCAAUCAAAUCAAGAUUAGCGUCAGUUUGGCAGGCCUGUACUAUAAUAGCCUGUGUGUCAAUCAGUAAGGCUUUCGGCUGAUGUCCGGGGAACAAGGGACUUGUUAUUCUUUUCGCAACUUAAGCCUAGACAUGCCUUGUAGAUCAUACGUUUGUUGAAACUCUACAAAGGACACUACCUAACAUCGCCCUACAACACUACAAGUCUUGUAAAUGCAAAGACGGUUGUGAAUACUUCUGUUUUGUGCAGAGGUUCUCUUAAAUGGUGUUUGAAACUCUAGCAACCUACAAGAAUACUCGCUUUCUUCGCCUGUUCAGUUUCGUGUAAGCAUUAUACCAACGGGUUUGUUUUUCUCUGACGAUUUAAGAAAGAUGAGCGAUACCGACGACGAUAAAAAAAAGAAAGAAAAGAUACGUCAGAGUGAACGCCGAGUAACAGCUAAUAACAAAACCAAAGAACCCUCUUACAACAAAAAGAACGAUUCACAGCAAAAACAGACUCAAAGAUCCACCGAUCAAGAAAAUAAAAAGAAGAAAGAGAAGAAAAAGGACGAAGACUGACGAAUCCCGUAAACUAUAAAGGUGACGAAUACUGGAACUUAAUAAGACUUGAAAGAGAGAAGAAUUAUGAAACCUUAGAGACAAGGACGGAUAAAGCUUUCUUUUUUCCAGUGGUCAAAUUUUGUUGCUAUAACUUUAAUCGAUGUUGUUUUAUAAUCUUUGUGUAAUUUUUUUGAUGUCGUGUAAUUCGUUUUUGAUCAGUGUCACAAAGCAUCUGAUUUUGUUGGUUUCUGUUUUGAUGCCAUGAAAAUUUGUAUGCUUUCAUUUACAAAACAGAUUUGUCACAGUUCAUAAAUUUAAGAUUUUUGUGUUUGAGAAAAAGACAUCAAAGUAAGAUUCACGGAAUAAAAUUUGUAAACAGUAUUUUGUAGCUCUUGAGAUUUGUAUGAUGUAUUAUUGUACAAAACUGUGAACAAUUAUUAAUAAAAUUUGUUAAAGAUGA
rnacentral:lncRNA from 1 species